CUACGGGCGCUGCAAACGAGGAUUUUUUGCAAUGCACGAAAGUGUGACAAAGCGAGCCAGAGUGUUUUUCGUAUAGAAAAACUUUUGUUAGCUGUAAAAAGGCUGACGAAUAAGGACUGGGCAAGACUGGUGCCAGCCGCCGCGGUAAUCCCAGCGGUCCAAGUCGUAGCCACAAUUAUCGGGUCUAAAACAUCCGUAGCUUGUUUUGUAAGUCUCUUGUGAAAUUUUGUCUCUUAAGGGCAAAGCAGGCAAGAGAUACUGCAAGACUAGAGAUUGGAGGAUGUAAGGAGUACAGUUAAGGUAGUGGUAAAAUACGUUGAUCUUAACUGGACUAACAACAGCGAAGGCACCUUACAAUUACUAUUCUGACAGUGAGGGAUGAAGGCUAGGGGCGCAAAACGGAUUAGAUACCCCCGUAGUC
rnacentral:rRNA from 1 species